rnacentral:rRNA from 1 species
GUUAAAAAGCUCGUAGUCGGAUUUCAGGGCGGGGCGACCGGUCUGCCGAUGGGUAUGCACUGGUCGGCGCGUCCUUGCUUCUGGAGACCGUGCCUACUCUUAACUGAGCGGGGACGGGAAACAGAUCGUUUACUUUGAAAAAAUCAGAGUGUUUAAAGCAGGCCAAGAUUGCUCUUGCAUGGAUUAGCAUGGGAUAAUGAAAUAGGACUUUGGUGCUAUUUUGUUGGUUUCGAACACCGAAGUAAUGAUUAAUAGGGAUAGUCAGGGGCACUCGUAUUCCGUCGAGAGAGGUGAAAUUCUCAGACCAAUGGAAGACGAACUACUGCGAAAGCAUUUGCCAGGGAUGUUUUCACUGAUCAAGAACGAAAGUUAGGGGAUCGAAGACGAUCAGAUACCGUCGUAGUCUUAACCAUAAACCAUGCCGACUAGGGAUUGGAGGAUGUUAUUUUGUGACUCCUUCAGCACCUUAUGAGAAAUCAAAGUCUUUGGGUUCCGGGGGGAGUAUGGUCGCAAGGCUGAAACUUAAAGGAAUUGACGGAAGGGCACCACCAGGAGUGGAGCCUGCGGCUUAAUUUGACUCAACACGGGGAAACUUACCAGGUCCGGACUUAGUAAGGAUGUACAGAUUGAUAGCUCUUUACAGAUUCUAAGGGUGGUGGUGCAUGGCCGUUCUUAGUUGGUGGAGUGAUUUGUCUGGUUAAUUCCGUUAACGAACGAGACCUUAACCUGCUAAAUAGU